rnacentral:rRNA from 1 species
ACUCCUACGGGAGGCAGCAGUAGGGAAUCUUGCGCAAUGGGCGAAAGCCUGACGCAGCAACGCCGCGUGGGGGAUGAAGGCCCUCGGGUUGUAAACCCCUUUCAGCAGGGACGAAAAUGACGGUACCUGCAGAAGAAGCCCCGGCCAACUACGUGCCAGCAGCCGCGGUAAUACGUAGGGGCGAGCGUUGUCCGGAUUUAUUGGGCGUAAAGAGCUCGUAGGCGGUUCAGUAAGUCAGGUGUGAAAACCCGGGGCUCAACCCCGGCCGCCACCUGAUACUGCUGUGACUAGAGUCUGGUAGAGGAGCGUGGAAUUCCCGGUGUAGCGGUGAAAUGCGCAGAUAUCGGGAGGAACACCAGCGGCGAAGGCGGCGCUCUGGGCCAGAACUGACGCUGAGGAGCGAAAGCGUGGGUAGCGAACAGGAUUAGAUA